CCUACGGGAGUCAGCAGUGAGGAAUAUUGGUCAAUGGGCGGAAGCCUGAACCAGCCAAGUCGCGUGAAGGAAGACUGUCCUAUGGGUUGUAAACCUCUUUUGUCGGGGAGCAAAAGACGCCACGCGUGGCGUUCCGAGAGUACCCGAAGAAAAAGCAUCGGCUAACUCCGUGCCAGCAGCCGCGGUAAUACGGAGGCUGCGAGCGUUCUCCGGAUUUAUUGGGUUUAAAGGGUGCGUAGGCGGUCGGAUAAGUUAGCGGGGAAAUCCCGAGGCUCAACUCGGGAAUUUCGUCUGAUACUGUUGGGCUAGAGUGUAGGCGGGGUAGGCGGAAUGCAUGGUGUAGCGGUGAAAUGCUUAGAGAUCACACAGAACACCGAUUGCGAAGGCAGUUUACCAAGCUACUUCUGACGUUGAGGCACGAAAGCGUGGGGAGCAAACAGGAUUAGAGACCCCUGUAGUC
rnacentral:rRNA from 1 species